CCCUCAAGCCCGUCUAAGCCUCUCUCUCUCUCUCUCUCUCUCUCUCUCCUUCUUCUUCUUCUUCUUCACACGAACACAUACCUCCAAAGAGUGUGAAUGGCGAGGAUCGGUGUACGACUUCUUGAAGCGGUGCUGACUCACCGGUAAUCGGAUCGCUCUAGAUUGUUCAGGUCAAUACGGCGUCAUGCGACUCCACUUCAUCUCUUGAUGUACUCGUCAUGAUCUGUGAGUGUGACGUUGAAAUAGAACGACUCGUUGCGCUCAACGAACUGGAGGCCGAUGAAGGCGUGCUUGCCGAUGCUGUCCUCGAUCUUAAGGACGAAGAAGCGCGACAAGUCGAGCACGGUCUCGACGGAGGUCGUUGGAGUUUGGAUCCUCUGAUCGGAUCUCGCGCCGGUCCUUGCAAGACACUACCCGGAGCUGACUCGUCCAGAUCUUUUGCCUCAGACCUAUGAGACUAAAUUCCCCGAGAGCUGGUAGGAUUAUGCACAUUGGGAAUGUGAAGAAGGCAACUGAUAUGCCUGUUAGUUCCAAUUUUCAGACGAUGGAGUAUUUAAUUGUCCUUGUGGCUUUGUGUAACAAGAAAGAAUGUCAUGUUGAGAUGAGAAAGUUGCAUGUACAUCACUUGGAAUUUUUCAGUCAAUGUAAUGUGAAAUUACAAAUACUGUUUAUAGACUA